AACAGAACAAACGGCAGCGACAUUCUUCUGCUGAUCCGUCGCUGCUUCAGGCGUCUCAGAGAAUCAAAGUCCUCUUUAACCCCCCUCCAGACUCCUCUGUAACUCCUCUAAACUCCUCCUAGCUCCUCCUCUCUUCCAAAGGUCCGAAGACGACCAGAAGAAGAUGGACGAUGACAAGAAGCAGCAGAAAAGCUCCCGGGAAGUUUACUUCAGUGUCCUGCCAGAUAAAUACGAACCUCUAGAGGAGGAGGACGAGGAGGACGAGGAGAGGAAGAGGAGGAAGGAGGAGAAGAAGGAGAGGAAGAAGAAGAAGCACAAGAAGUACAGGAAGAAUGUGAGGAAGGCUCUGGGCUUCAGCUGGAGGUGUUUCCUGUUUUAUUGUGAAGGUGUGUUCUUCUAUGGUAGAAUGUGAGGAAGGCUCUGACCUUCAGCUGGAGGUGUUUCCUGUUUUAUUGUGAAGGUGUGUUCUUCUUCUAUGGUAGAAUGUGAGGAAGGCUCUGGGCUUCAGCUGGAGGUGUUUCCUGGUUGGUCUCCAGUCAAUGGCCGCCGGAUUCAGCGGAGCGAUGGCUGGAUACUCCAUGACGAUCGUGAUUCCCACGGCGACGGAGGAGCGACGAGCCAGAAGGGAACUAUGAUGGGAUGGGAUCCACUUUGUUUGUUUGUUUGUUUGUUUACUUAUUUUAUUCUGCUUUGAUGCUGAAAGUUUCAAACUGUUUACCUGGUACUUCCUGUUUUUACUGUCCAAUAAAAUAAAAACAAACUGCUUCCAUGGUUGGUUCUUUAUGUCCUGAUAUGGUCAGGAGGCGGAGUCAAACUGUCCUUAUAUGGUCAGAUA
ensembl:lncRNA